rnacentral:lncRNA from 1 species
AUGGCAGGUCAGAGGAGAGUUGACACCAUGGACGACGGGAAGUUCAAGUGCAGACACGCAAUGUUUUGUAUGACACCACAAAUCCUUUUUAUGAAGACAACACCAAAAAGGAAAAGGCCUGGAAUUUUAUUGCAGAAGUUGUGGGAGUGGAAGGCUGCUGGGAGAAAUACAGUACUCAUAUUUCUUUCUGGCUGGAGCACACAGCACACUACAGACCUGAUGUGGAAGAUGCAGCCUGCAGGAUUAAUUGGGCCCAGUUACAGAGGAUCAGCAAGUUUGGUGCUCUUCACAUGCUGCUCUUCCAUAUGGCAGCACAGAAGACACACACUAUGAUUAAUAGUUCAGUCUACCAGGUUUCUACUCAUCUACCCGUCAGACACAGGAUUUCCUGUGUGGCUUUACAGGAGGAGGUACCACCCAGAUGACGUCACCCAGAUCUCGAUGCAUUUUGUCUGUAGAUUACAGCCUAAACAAUAGCAAAUAUAUUGUCAUAUAUAUAAUAUCAUUUAUUAACCAUUUAUUGUAUGAAGUAGUGCCUCUGUUUUGUAAUGUUUUAAAUGUAUUAAUUUGUUUGAUGUAAGCACUGAUGGUUGUUGUUUUGAAGGAUAGGCCACUCCUGCUAUAACACACUGUGGGAGAAGUGGUUGCUUACAUAUCGUAUAGAUUAUAAGUGGGACUCAAAGAGUUUGCAUUAGGUUUUAGGUCUAGCUUGGUUAUGUGUUUUUUUUUCUAAAUAAAACAAAUAUUGAG